CAGUUAAUUUGUCCGUGUGAAUUCUCUUUUUAGGGUCAGUUGGAAUUUAAUUUCCAGUGUUCAAUAUAUUUGUCUUUUUGCUUGUUGAUAAUUUGAUUUUGUCUCUGUUAGAAUAAAGAACUGGUGAAUAAAGUUUGUUAGACCAAACUAACUGAACAUGUGCAGAAGGCUGCUGACUCACCUCCUGCAAGCUGAAUCUAACAUUUACAUUUAUCCAUUUAGCUGACUCUUUUAACCAAACAUGUAACUUACAAUUACACGUCUCUGGAGCAACGAGGGGUUAAACGUCUUGCUCAGGGACACAUUGGUGGACGGUCACAGUGGGAGAUUGACCCCAGGUCUCUCACACCAAAGUCGCGUGUCUUAUCCACUGCACCAUCAUGACCAAGAUGCUGCCUUCAGGUUCCUGCUUCAGUCAAACCUAAAAGAGGUUGAAUGUCUUCAUGGACUCUGAGAUGUCCUGGAGGUCUGAGGUGUAAAGAGGGACGGUGAUAGUCCAGACUGUGGUCUAUCGGUCAGUAACCAGGAGGAGCUGGAGGUCUCUGCCUGCAGUGCUACAGACACCGGGGAGGUCAAAGAACAGGAUCCUCAGAGCUCACCAGACCAGUCCAGGUGAAAGGUGCUCGCUGGAGCAGGUAGACGAGGGCAUCCUCCACCUCAGGGCGUCAGGCAGUCCAGGGAGGGGGUCACCUGAGAUCAGCUACAGUCUCUCUGGGACUUCGUGUGACAUUAAUGCCACUGGUCUGUAAUGGUUGAGAGCAGAUGAGAGGACUUCUUUGGUACCAGAACAAGGCAGGAAGUCUUCCCCGGCUCUGGGACCUUCUCCUGGUUCAGGAUAAGGUUGAAGAGGUGGCGUAGAACGUGUUCUGUAAAACAGCUCGCACCAACGGUUUAUUUGCACCACAAGAAAACGUGCUAUGCAAUUUAAAAGUAGAAGAAACAAAUGUGUCCCAAAAAAGUAACUUAAGCUUAAAAAACAAGCAGCUGAUUACUGCUGUACAUUCUGUUAUACUGUUAUAGUUUGGAACUGUCACCUGCCAGCUGUGUUCUGCUUCCCUUUGUAUAAAUAAAGACAUUUCCUCCA